rnacentral:rRNA from 1 species
UCGGCUGACGGCUCAGUAACACGUGGAUAAUCUGCCCUAAGGUGGAGGAUAAUCUCGGGAAACUGAGAAUAACACUCCAUAGGUCUAGGAUGCUGGAAUGCACUUAGGCUGAAAACUUCGGUGCCUUAGGAUGAGUCUGCGGACUAUCAGGUUGUAGUCAGGGUAAAGACCUGACUAGCCUACGACGGAUACGGGUUGUGAGAGCAAUAACCCGGAGAUGAUAUCUGAGACACGAUAUCAGGCCCUACGGGGCGCAGCAGGCGCGAAACCUUCACACUGUGCGAAAGCACGAUGAGGGAAUCCCAAGUGCUUGCACGUAAGUGUAAGCUGUUUUUAUGUCUAAAACACAUAGAGAGUAAGAGCUGGGUAAGACGGGUGCCAGCCGCCGCGGUAAUACCUGCAGCUCGAGUGGUGGUCGCUAUUAUUGGGCCUAAAACGUUCGUAGCCGGUUUGUUAAAUGCCUGGGUAAAUAGUAUAGCUUAACUAUACGAAUUCCGGGUAGACUGUCAAACUUGAGGCCGGGAGAGGUCAGAGGUACUCCUGGGGUAGGGGUAAAAUCCGAUAAUCCUGGGGGGACCACCAGUGGCGAAGGCGUCUGACUGGAACGGGCCUGACGGUGAGGGACGAAACCCUGGGGAGCGAUCCGGAUUAGAUACCCGGGUAGUCCAGGGCGUAAACGAUGUGGGCUGGGUGUGGGUCAAUCAGAAGGAUUGAUCUGUGCCGAAGCGAAAGCGAUAAGUCCACCGCCUGGGGAGUACGGUCGCAAGGCUGAAACUUAAAGGAAUUGGCGGGGGGGCACCACAAGGGGUGGAGCCUGCGGUCUAAUUGGAUUCAACGCCGGGAAUCUUACCAGGAGCGACAGCAGGAUGAAGGCCAGGCUGAUGACCUUGCUCAACGAGCUGAGAGGAGGUGCAUGGCUGCCGUCAGCUCGUACUGUGAAGCGUCCUGUUAAGUCAGGUAACGAGCGAGACCCACGCCCUCAGUUGCCAGCAGAUCCGAAAGGAUGCUGGGGACUCUGAGGGGACCGCCAUCGAUAAGAUGGAGGAAGGAGUGGGCGACGGUAGGUCAGUAUGCCCCAAAUCUCCUGGGCU